rnacentral:lncRNA from 1 species
AGUGAUAGUUGGCAUUCAAGAAAGGGGCAGAACCAGGAGGGCCAGAGGAAAGUGUGGGAUGCUUGAGAGGCAGCUCUGGAGCCAACCGCCUGGGCUAGAAUCCCACCUCUACCACCCACCCACUGUGUGGUCUUGAGCAACUCACUCUACCUUUCUGUUUCUCAUGUUUGCGUCUGCAGAAAGGAGCUAAUAACAGUCCCUCCUUACUGGGUUGUUUUGAAGGUUUUAUGAGUCAGUACGCAGUUUUGAGUGUUCUCUAAGUCAAUGUAGAAUAUACGCCAAGUACCUAAAGCAAUAUCUGACUCAUUAAAUGCUUGAUACAUAUUAGCCAGUAGGAGGAAGAGGAGGCGAGAGAAUAAGGUUUCAAAAAGGAGAAGGAGCCUAAAGGAAAGAGAAUUCCAGAAGAAGGUGACCUUGGCAAAUAUACAGAUGUCUUCUAGGAUGAAGGAAACCGAUUGAAUUCCGUUCAGCCUCUGUAAAGAAGGUCAGCAGGGUACGUAUUUCACUACCUAAGUGAUAAACAAGGUCACAGAGGUCCAAGGGUUGAAAUAUAAGAAGGAUUUUUUUAAAGUUAGCUUUCCUUCGUUAUCAUGUAGACCUGCGUUUCAGUCAUCAGUGAGCAAAUACUGAUGGAGGCCUUAGAGGGGGCUGGGCACUUCGGGAAACCAGCCCAAUAGCCCUGCCAGCCUGGAGCUAUUUUUCGAGUGGGUUUAAAGUUGGAAAACUAUUGCGAUCGUUUGUCUCAUCAUGUGUGGAUGUGUAACGUGCCUGAGUGUUAUGGUAGCUGAGUGAUUCAUUAGUAACUAGGAAAAAAAAUCAUGGUAUUACCUUUAAAACACAGACAACUCUUGAUUUUCUGCGCUAAUGAGGAAUCACAGGAACACAUAUAGUUGAUAAAUUAUGUUUGUUUUACCUGUACGUUCGGGAAAUCAUCAGUUUGGCCUUUGCGGUUUAAAGCCUGUCUCCAUCCGUUUGGAUUUCUGGUUGUCCUCCAUCCCCGCCCCUCCUGCCUAAUUUGCAAACGGUCACAUGGGCCCAGGGAAGCGUGGAGAAGCCGCUGUCAGGUGAUCACCGUUAGGUUCGUAGUGGUGUCUUGGUCCCUGAGUGGGGUGACCUUGGCAAAUACCUUAUCACCUUCUCCAAUAAAAUAAACGCAAGCGAGUCCCUGAACCACCGGGGCUUUCAGUUACUACCCCUGACCACCCUGAAGAGGCCUGGUGAGAGCCAAGAGCCUAUCUUGUAAAUCUCUGAUUAUUCAGACAGGAAAGCCAGACAUUUCCUAGUUUAGCAGAAUUAAAAUGUGAAGGGUGCUGUCUGGGAGGUGCCAAAACAGCUGGAAGCCAAAUUUAAGAAAUUAGAAUAAUUAGUUGGUCCCAAAGGGUAUCCUUCACUGUUAGAAUUGCAUUGCCAAGGAUUGAGCUGGGGAGUUUGGCCUCCAGGGAAGAGUUAACAAAUCAGACAGGAACAUUACAAAAAUUUCCACUGAAAAAGAAGUUCCUUGGAAGUGGAGCUGAGAGGCUUGCUAAUUGCAGCUUACUCUAAGCCUAAUGACAGCCCUGCAGCUUCCGUGAAGAAAGCACAGGACGUUUGAAUGAUGGUGAGGGGAGAGGGGACUCCGGGCAGAUGGAUCCGAAUCAACCGGGCAAAAUGAGUCCUUUAGACUCUGACCCCUUUUGGAGUGAACUGCAUUGGGAGAGGAGUCAAGUUUGCUUUCUCCAAGAUUCUUAACCAACAGUAAAGAUUGAUAAAACACAUUUUCCAGAAGUUCAACCAUAUAAUAACUUUAGCAGGCACAUCAUAAUCCACUGCCUCGAUUUCAAACAUUUCCUUGAUGUAGGGUGAUCACGGUGGAAAGGAAUGUUAUUCUUCUCCAGCCAUUGGGAAGAUUUUGUCGUCCUUAAUCCCAGAAACUAAAUCACUGGCUACUUCAGAGGCUCUGAUCUGAAUCUUAAUUGAUGCCCAUUGCCUUUUUUAGACUCCUAUGUUUGAUUUUAACCAGACAGAUCCAGGAGGAAGGAUUCAGGUGGCCGUGAUGGAGAAAGGGUAAUAUUUUGGCCAGUCAUAUGGUGAGCCUAUUCCAAAACCCUUUCCAUUUAUAAUGUAACUCUGUAGGGCUUUCCUCCUGAGGUAGCCCUCCUUUCGUGACAUCCAGUGCAGUGGAAACUAGGUUUUCCUUUUCUGUUUGAUUGUCCCCUUCAGUCUUGAUGCUAGUUAACGUCGUUGGAUCGUAACAUUAUUAGCUAACAUUUGGGUGCUGAUUUACACAUAAUUCCAUAGGCCUGUUGACCCGCAUCAACUUAAUUAAUGUUCACGAGAGCCCUAGGGAGUAAAUCAUUCUAUCUUCCACGCUCCAGAUGAUGAAACUAAGGAGACGCAGGUGGUAUAGGUAAAGUGACUUACGCCAGGUUGGUCAAGUGACCCUGUGACUGUGCUGUAACUGAAAGCCCAGUCUUUUAACUAAGUCGUUUGCUUAAAGAUGUUCAUCUAAGGACUAAGCAGCUCCUUUCAGUGGAUUCUUCCAGCAUAGAUGCUUUUGGUGUGAAGACAUUGCUUUUUCUUAGGGGAAGAAUUAUCUAUUUAAAGAUCGGAGGCUUUUCAUUUUAUUUCCAUCUCUCCCACAUUGCUUUUAAAGUGCUGACCACCAAGAGCGAGGAGGAUUUUCCAUGGACGAAGCUACCAUAUGUGUGAAGCAAUCUUUGGAUACCACUGGUUUUUCUUCCUAAAUCGCAUUUCCUUUUUCUGGCACUUGUUAUGACCAAGUCCUCUUUUCAAAUACUUGACAUCCAUGAGCUCCUUCCAAAUUCACUUUUAUCAAAAUGUACUUGUAAGGGAAGUUCCCAUUGUGGCUCAGUGGUUAAUGAACCCGACUAGCAUCCACGAGGACACGGGUUCAAUCUCUGGUCCUACUGAGUGGGUUAAGGAUCCAGCGUUGCCGUGAGCUAUGGUGUAGGUGGCAGACGAGGCUCAGAUCCCGCGUUGCUGUGGCUGUGGUGUAGGCCAGCGGCCACUGCUCCGAUUGGACCUCUAGCCUGGGAAUUUCCAUAGGCCUCAGGUGCGGCCCUAAAAAUACAAAAAGACCCCAAAAAAAUUUGAUAGAAUGCCAAGCCGUUACUCUCCUGCAAGCCAUAUUUUUUACUGUGAAAGAAAUCUGCUUCUCUAGUAAAGGGGGUUUUAAGGAGUAGAGGGAUGAGGUUUUAAAAUACAGCAUCUUCCUUUAUUCUCGAAAUUCUAUCAUGUAGCGGUACUGUGCUUUAGCCAACUCAGCUCUAGCUAGGACAUCUUGAUCCGCCAACCAGGGUAUCAUAGCAACUUGCUGUACAUUUUCUGUGAUGUAGAGAGAACAGGCAUUUAGCAGAAGGCUGUUUUUCUUCGAAGCCAGUGCAAGAAGAGGUCAGUGGAAUGCUGGGGCCGUUUAGUUUCCUCAGUGGAAAGAAACAGAAAGUUUCUGCAUUAAUUAGAAGGUCUGAAAGGGAGCAAGGGGUAAGGGCGAUUGAGAAAUAAUUGCAGCAAACAGAAUGCUAGGUAUUCUGUGUGAGCGCGUGUUCCAUUUGGGGAAUGGGUGAGAAUAGAAAAUACUGUAACCAUCGUGAAAGGGGCUCAGCUAAAACUGCCCCUCCUUGCCCAGCUUCAGCCCCAGUUGAGCCUGCUCUACUCAUUCCAUCUCGGUCACUGCAGUGCCCAGCACCUCCAAGUUAGACACCAGGAGUCCACAGAGGAGGCAAGGAAAGGGGAGAGAAGGUGUAGAAGCUCCAUUUGGCUCUUCAGAAAAAAAGUUUUAUAAUAAAUAUUAUUGUUAAAAAUAGCGCGAUGAAUUCCAUACCAUGCCCACCCCUUUCCCGCCUCGUGGAUGUUUCAGCUUCUGGGAGACAUUCUACUUGUCACUGAGCUGUGGGAAGUGUAGAGUAGAUUUCCUGAUUAGCAGGUGGAAGGGAUAGACAGUUGGUGCAUAAAAAAAUAAUAAUGGUUUUAUUGAGCACUUAGUAUGUUCUGCGCAAACACACCACCGUUGACUCACAAUCACCCAAUGAAGGAAGUAGUAUUACUAUAAUUCUGGAGCCCCCAAAGGAGUUAGAAGCCAAGGGCUCAGGAACCAACCCUCUUGGUUCAAAUCCUGGUUGCACUCUGUGCCUGCUGUGUGACUUUAAGACAGUUACUUAACCUCUCCAUGAAUCAGCUUCGUCACCUUUAAAACUGGGUACCAGUGUCACACAUCUGUGUCAGGGUCUCCUAGCCCACCCCCAGUUUCAGUGACUCACCUAGGAGGACUCAUAGGACUCAGCAUGUGAUCUUACCCACAACUAAGAUCUGUUAGGUCAAAUGGAAAAUUAAAGUCAGCAAAAAGGAAGGCACAUAGGGAAAAGUCCAGAGGUAACCAGGCAGAAGCUGCCAAGAUUCAUCUCCCACUGGAGUCACACAGGACAUACAUAAUUCUUCCUGCAAUGAAUUAUGACAGGUGUGCCGCAGUGUCUACGCGGGAACCUCAGUGGAGACUCAGUGCUGGAAUUUUGACUGAGGGCUGGUCACUUGGGCACCCUCUUUGUGGCACAUACCAAAAUUCCAGACUCCCAGAAGAGAGUAGGUGCUUAGCAUAAACCCCAUUGUUUGCACGGUUAGGUACAGUGAGUAACUCCUAUCAGGAAAUAAUAGGAGGUCUCCUGAAAUCCAAGUUCCCGGAUACCUGUUAAGAGUCAACCUUAUAGGAGUUCCUGCAGUGGCACAGUGGUUAACGAAUCCAACUAGGAACCAUGAGGUUGCGGGUUCCAUCCCUGACUUUUCUCGGUAGGUUAAGAAUCCAGCAUUGCCGUGAGCUGUGGUGUAGGUCGCAGACACGGCUCGGAUCCCGUGUUGCUGUGGCUGUGGCAUAGGCCCACGGCAGCAGCUCCGAUUAGACCCCUAGCCUGCGAACCUCCAUAUGCUGAGGGAAGUGGCCCUAGAAAAGGGAAAAUAAAAAGAGUCAACCUUAUAAGCAAGGCUUUCUAAAGAUAGCAGCUUCAGGCCAGCUGUGUUAACUCCGUUUUGCACAUCACCUCAUUGGAUUAUUGAGAAAUUAGAUGACGUAAUAUAUCCAUGUUUACAACAGUGCUUUAUACUUAGGAAGCCCUAAAAAUUUUUGUAGCCAUUAUUGGUAAAUGGGAAAAAUUACUGAAGCUUAGAAUGACUGCAGAGUCAGGCCUAUCUGUAAUCUGAAUUUACGUCUACCUGACUUAAAAAGAUCCAUGCAUUUACUCACUUCACUCAAGCAGAAACAAAAUAGCAUCCUUCAGACUUCCGCUAGGAAUGGAGAUAAUGGAUCCCUCCUUUCUCAGAUUUGUAGUUGAUGGGGUCUGUAAGUGUAGCUGUUUUGAAAAUAUAGCUUUCUCUAGCUACAAGUAAUAUCACACCAUGGUGCAGAAUCCUAAUUAGUUAAACCUACUCCUAGAGUGUAGACAUGAUCUAGUACUUUACUGCCCUAAAUGAGCAUAUUUUGGAUGUACCACAGUCUUUCUCUUCCACUCAAUUCGGCAUGCUUUGUUUAUGUCUCUAAUUUUUCAGAAUACCCUAAUACUCUUAAGAAUUUUCUUUUGUAAGAUCUAGAUAGGGAGUUUCCGCUGUGGCUCAGCAGUUUAAGAACCCAACAUAGUGUCUUUGAGGCUGUGGGUUCGAUCCCUGGCCAUGCUCAGUGAGCUAAGGAUCUGGCAUUGCCACAAGCUAUGGGAUGGUUUGCAGAUGCGGCUUGGAUCUGGCAUUGCUGUAGCCCAAGAACUUCCAUUUAAAAAAAAAAAAAAAAAAAAAAA